UACGAAGGACCCGAGCGUUAUCCGGAUUUAUUGGGUUUAAAGGGUGCGUAGGCGUCCUGGAAAGUUACGGUUGAAAUCUCCUUGCUCAACAAGGAAACUGGCCGUAAAACUAUCAGGAUUGAGUACAUUUGAAGCGGGCGGAAUGUGUCAUGUAGCGGUGAAAUGCAUAGAUAUGACACAGAACACCGAUUGCGAAGGCAGCUCGCUAAACUGAUAACUGACGCUGAGGCACGAAAGCGUGGGGAUCAAACAGGAUUAGAUACCCC
rnacentral:rRNA from 1 species